rnacentral:tRNA from 1 species
AAGCCCCGUGGUGGAGACCACGUCAGAUUGCAAAUCUGAAGACGCAGAGGAGAUUCUGCCGGGGCUU